rnacentral:rRNA from 1 species
AGUGAACGCUGGCGGUAGGCCUAACACAUGCAAGUCGAACGGCAGCACAGUAAGAGCUUGCUCUUACGGGUGGCGAGUGGCGGACGGGUGAGGAAUACAUCGGCAUCUACUUUUUCGUGGGGGAUAACGUAGGGAAACUUACGCUAAUACCGCAUACGACCUACGGGAGAAAGCAGGAGAUCUUCGGACCUUGCGCGAUAGAAUGAGCCGAUGUCGGAUUAGCUAGUUGGCGGGGUAAAGGCCCACCAAGGCGACGAUCCGUAGCUGGUCUGAGAGGAUGAUCAGCCACACUGGAACUGAGACACGGUCCAGACGCCUACGGGAGGCAGCAGUGGGGAAUAUUGGACAAUGGGCGCAAGCCUGAUCCAGCCAUACCGCGUGAGUGAAGAAGGCCUUCGGGUUGUAAAGCCCUUUUGUUGGGAAAGAAAAGCAGCAGGUUAAUACCCCGCUGUUCUGACGGUACCCAAAGAAUAAGCACCGGCUAACUUCGUG